rnacentral:ncRNA from 2 species
UUGCGUUAAGGAUAGCAAUGGAAAUCCUUUUUUUGCUGCCAUAAACGGCAAAAAAAGAGUGUAAUGUAUAGCCUGUUAAAAC